ACGCACGCUGGCGGCGUGCUUCACCCCUGCCAGUCGAACGAUGACGACCGAGCUUGCUCGGUCUGAUUAGUGGCGAACGGGUGAGUAACACGUGAGCAACCUGCCCUUCACUCUGGGAUAACCUCGGGAAAUCGGGGCUAAUACCGGAUAUGAGCUCCUGUCGCAUGGCGGGUGUUGGAAAGUUUUUCGGUGAAGGAUGGGCUCGCGGCCUAUCAGUUUGUUGGUGAGGUAGUGGCUCACCAAGGCGAUGACGGGUAGCCGGCCUGAGAGGGCGACCGGCCACACUGGGACUGAGACACGGCCCAGACUCCUACGGGAGGCAGCAGUGGGGAAUAUUGCACAAUGGGCGAAAGCCUGAUGCAGCGACGCCGCGUGAGGGAUGACGGCCUUCGGGUUGUAAACCUCUUUCAGCAGGGAAGAAGCGAAAGUGACGGUACCUGCAGAAGAAGCGCCGGCUAACUACGUG
rnacentral:rRNA from 1 species